rnacentral:rRNA from 1 species
CCUACGGGAGGCAGCAGUGAGGAAUAUUGGUCAAUGGCCGGAAGGCUGAACCAGCCAUGCCGCGUGAAGGUCAGUGCUCUAUGGGCGUUAAACUUCUUUUGUGCGGGAGCAAUAAUGGUCACGUGUGGCCAGACGAGAGUACCGUACGAAUAAGCAUCGGCUCACUCCGUGCCAGCAGCCGCGGUAAUACGGGGGAUGCAAGCGUUAUCCGGAUUUAUUGGGUUUAAAGGGUGCGUAGGCUGUGAGGUAAGUCAGCGGUGAAAUGCCCCCGUUCAACGGGGUGAAGUGCCAUUGAUACUGCCUUGCUGGAAUGCGGAUGCCGUGGGAGGAAUGUGUGGUGUAGCGGUGAAAUGCAUAGAUAUCACACAGAACACCGAUUGCGAAGGCAGCUCACGAAUCCGCGAUUGACGCUGAUGCACGAAAGCGUGGGUAUCAAACAGGAUUAGAUACCCCAGUAGUC